GGGAGGCAGCAGUGGGGAAUCUUGGACAAUGGGCGCAAGCCUGAUCCAGCCAUGCCGCGUGUGUGAUGAAGGCCUUAGGGUCGUAAAGCACUUUCGCCAGAGAUGAUAAUGACAGUAUCUGGUAAAGAAACCCCGGCUAACUCCGUGCCAGCAGCCGCGGUAAUACGGAGGGGGUUAGCGUUGUUCGGAAUUACUGGGCGUAAAGCGCACGUAGGCGGACUAGUCAGUCAGAGGUGAAAUCCCAGGGCUCAACCCUGGAACUGCCUUUGAUACUGCUAGUCUUGAGUUCGAGAGAGGUGAGUGGAAUUCCGAGUGUAGAGGUGAAAUUCGUAGAUAUUCGGAGGAACACCAGUGGCGAAGGCGGCUCACUGGCUCGAUACUGACGCUGAGGUGCGAAAGUGUGGGGAGCAAACAGGAUUAGAUACCCUGGUAGUCCACACCGUAAACGAUGAAUGCCAGUCGUCGGGCAGUAUACUGUUCGGUGACACACCUAACGGAUUAAGCAUCCGC
rnacentral:rRNA from 1 species